AGCUGCCGGCAGCCGCACAGUCUUUCUGCGGCUCUGAAAUAAGAAAAAAAAUCGUCAGCUGCUACGAUGGAGCGGCGUGCAGGGGGGUUUCUAGGUACUCGGACCCCCCCCCCCCCCCUGCAUGUGCGUAUGAACUCAAUUACCCCCUAUAGCCAAACGUUUGAUAUCUAACCGUUCAUCAAACAGCAUACUGAUCAGUAAAUUUUUUGGAUGCAAAAAGUAAGCAUUAGUUUGGAUGACUUUAUUGACUUUUCAUCGUACAGGAUCAGGCAAGUAUCGUGAGUAUUGUAUAGCGUUCCAGGUUUCGUGAAGGACGUGACAUGGCAAUGUACAAGCGAAGAGUGCGAUUCCCAGCUGUAAGCCAUCUAGAUUGGUGUAACGGCCCCGGGUCUCUAUUAGCAAGAUCUGCGGAUACAGAGCCAGCAGAAAUGUCAGUAAGGUUUUGUAUUAAAGGACCUGAAAAACUUUCAGGACCAGUUUUCACCCAUCAAGUACCGUGAAGAGGUGACGAAGUGGCAAUUCAUUGAAAUGAAGAAGGUAUAUUGCCCAUUGAAGAUUUCUCUGCAAGCGAUUUUCUAACAGUAUGAUGACACCUCACAGAUGGCCAGUAUUUGAAUUUGUACCAUCGCUCCCGAUGACACGCACAUUGUCAAGAAUUCUUCCUUAACCCUCAUGUUUAAGACUUUCUGGGUAGUGCAUGCGAUGAACAGGAGGAACGUUUUCACCAAGACAUUCUGAAAAUUGAGCAUUGCUACCAAGGGCACUGGAAUGCUGCAAUGAUGGGUGACUACUGCUGGUUCAUUUUUAGAGAGACAUACCCCUUUCACACCGCACAAAUAACCCGGUAUCGACCCGGCAUAUUGCCGGGUCGACACGGGUCAGCGUGCGGUGUGAAAGGGGCAUAGCCGAAAUCCCGGGUCGCCUGGCCCGGCAAUUCAACCCGGCAAUAAAGCAGUGUUAUACCCGGGUUGAAUACCGAGUCAGUGGCUGCGCAAACGGGCUCCUGGGUCGAUGCGACCCGGGACCCGUUCACUACAACAGGGAGAGGCGGCGCAGAGAU